rnacentral:lncRNA from 1 species
CAUCAUUGUAGACCUAUGCUCUCACUGUUGCCACCAUCACCAUCGGCUGGAGAUCAUUUUUUUUUAUUAUUUUUAAUAAAAAUAUAUUCAUCACCUUGGUUUGGUUGACGUAGCAACAGUUGCAUUUAUUCGGGAUGCAUGGUAAUCUUGGCUGUUUCUUUUUCUAUACAUUUUACAAUGUUUAUUUGCCGUCUACAGUUUAUUGCAAUGCUC